rnacentral:rRNA from 1 species
ACGGGUGAGUAACGCGUGGGAAUCUACCCAACCCUACGGAAUAACGCAUGGAAACGUGUGCUAAUACCGUAUACGCCCUACGGGGGAAAGAUUUAUCGGGGAUGGAUGAGCCCGCGUUGGAUUAGCUAGUUGGUGGGGUAAAGGCCUACCAAGGCGACGAUCCAUAGCUGGUCUGAGAGGAUGAUCAGCCACAUUGGGACUGAGACACGGCCCAAACUCCUACGGGAGGCAGCAGUGGGGAAUAUUGGACAAUGGGCGCAAGCCUGAUCCAGCCAUGCCGCGUGAGUGAUGAAGGCCUUAGGGUUGUAAAGCUCUUUCAACGGUGAAGAUAAUGACGGUAACCGUAGAAGAAGCCCCGGCUAACUUCGUGCCAGCAGCCGCGGUAAUACGAAGGGGGCUAGCGUUGUUCGGAAUUACUGGGCGUAAAGCGCACGUAGGCGGACUUUUAAGUCAGGGGUGAAAUCCCAGGGCUCAACCCUGGAACUGCCUUUGAUACUGGAAGUCUGGAGUAUGGAAGAGGUGAGUGGAAUUCCGAGUGUAGAGGUGAAAUUCGUAGA